ACAGAGACUACAAGCGUUACUCGGAAUCACUGGGCGUAAAGCGUGCGUAGGCGGUCGAGAGAGUCACGCGUAAAAGGCUGGGGCUUAACCCCAGUUACAUGCGUGAGACCCCUCGACUUGAGCUAUAUAUAGAGGUAAGCGGAAUUCCUGAAGUAGCAGUGAAAUGCAUAGAUAUCAGGAGGAACACCAGAGGCGAAGGCGGCUUACUGGGUAAUAGCUGACGCUGAGGCACGAAAGCGUGGGGAGCAAAAGG
rnacentral:rRNA from 1 species